rnacentral:rRNA from 1 species
UACGUAGGGGGCAAGCGUUGUCCGGAAUCAUUGGGCGUAAAGCGCGUGUAGGCGGCUCGGUAAGUCUGCUGUGAAAGUCCAGGGCUCAACCCUGGGAUGCCGGUGGAUACUGCUGUGGCUAGAGUCCGGUAGGGGAGCGUGGAAUUCCUGGUGUAGCGGUGAAAUGCGCAGAUAUCAGGAGGAACACCAGCGGCGGAAGGCGGCGCUCGUGGGCCGGUACUGACGCUGAGGAGCGAAAGCGUGGGGAGCAAACAGG